rnacentral:rRNA from 1 species
UACGUAGGGUGCGAGCGUUGUCCGGAAUUAUUGGGCGUAAAGGGCUCGUAGGCGGUUUGUCGCGUCGGGAGUGAAAACACACAGCUUAACUGUGUGCUGGCUUCCGAUACGGGCAGACUAGAGGUAUGCAGGGGAGAACGGAAUUCCUGGUGUAGCGGUGAAAUGCGCAGAUAUCAGGAGGAACACCGGUGGCGAAGGCGGAUCUCUGGGCCUUACCUGACGCUCAGGUGCGAAAGCAUGGGGAGCGAACAGG